GACGAACGCUGGCGGCGUGCUUAACACAUGCAAGUCGAACGGAAAGGCCCUGCUUUUGUGGGGUGCUCGAGUGGCGAACGGGUGAGUAACACGUGAGUAACCUGCCCUUGACUUUGGGAUAACUUCAGGAAACUGGGGCUAAUACCGGAUAGGAGCUCCUGCUGCAUGGUGGGGGUUGGAAAGUUUCGGCGGUUGGGGAUGGACUCGCGGCUUAUCAGCUUGUUGGUGGGGUAGUGGCUUACCAAGGCUUUGACGGGUAGCCGGCCUGAGAGGGUGACCGGCCACAUUGGGACUGAGAUACGGAGCAGACUCCUACGGGAGGCAGCAGUGGGGAAUAUUGCACAAUGGGCGGAAGCCUGAUGCAGCAACGCCGCGGGCGGGAUGACGGCCUUCGGGUUGUAAACCGCUUUCGCCUGUGACGAAGCGUGAGUGACGGUAAUGGGUAAAGAAGCACCGGCUAACUACGUG
rnacentral:rRNA from 1 species